AUCUUGUCCAACACAUCCUGCUAAUAUCUCUCCGUUCAACAUCUAGCAAACUUCAUACCCCCUUUGCAUUCGACUUUUGUCUUCUGUCCUCAUCCUCUUUGAGUAGAAGGCAGAUAUCAAAUUGAAAUAUCCAUAUCACGUUUCUUCUUAGAAACCCCCGUUGAACCGAACAAACUCGCAACCAUGGAAGCAGAGAAAACCUCUUCCCUCUUGAAAAAAUCUUCUAGAAAGACCUCUCCAUUCUCCCCCUAUCGUGGGACACUCUUCUAUCAAGCUGAAUCAAGCUCACAUAACCGCGCAUCCAGCACAAUACCCCUUACACUAUCUCCACCACCUUCCAGCUCUGAGAUCUCUAGCUUGGAUAUUCAAGAGAAGACUCCUGGCAGAAAAGUGUCUCCUCUUUCUCUCCCUCCCCCAUUGGUACGCGUCAAAACACCAACUCCGGUUCCAACAGCAUCAAAAAGCACUGCACCACCACCCUGUUAUCCGCCAACAAAAGCAGCACAUACCAAUUUCAAGGAGAUUCUCAUCCACACGGCAAAGUGCGACAAAUGCAACAAGCAUAAUAAAGCAACAUUGCAACGCUGCACGACUUGUGGAUUCCAGAUUUGCACACCGUGCUGGCUUAAUAGGGGCGGCGGGCAGCAUACGGUCACGCGGGUGUUCAAGGGACCCGUAUUCAAUCCUAAUGCGGUAGAUGAAGAGAAUGUGGAUGAGUGGGAUGAUGAAGGGGAUGGAGUAGAAGAUACCGAUGACCAGAUGUCUCAUGAAAGUGACGAUGUCGAUGACAAUGACUCCGAUGUGAUGACAGUGUCAGAAUAUAAAAACAACGACACAAUGAUAAAGACCGAUGAUUCUGACGAUGUCUUUUCGAUCCAUUCGAUCGACAAGCAUGAUGGCUCUUCCUCUCCCUUAAACUGCAAAAACAGAUGUUUGGAUAUCUCCCACCGAGCAGGUCAGACAGGGGAAGCCGCCUGCCCCGUGUACUCGUACAGCAGCGACAUCCCAGACCCCGGCUCUGAGGAUUGCAAUGGCGCGAAUGAGCUGCCAGCAUAUCAAACUGACCGCGCGCGACCGAUUGCUCGUCGAUACCCCUAUAGCUCCCUGACCAGCCAGGACGAGAACGACUCCAGAGGUGACGGGGUUGCUACGGGGAUAAGCUGCCAAAAUGCCAGAGACAUGGACAAGAACCGCCGCUAUUACAGCGACCUGGCUCUCGAGUCCCGCGAACGGAUCGAUGUCCUUAUCAGCACGGCCAUGAGCCUAUUUGAAGAUGCCGCCUUCGAUCCCUGCCAAAACCGAACCACAGAUCCGCCCUCCGCCCACAACCUCCACUCCCCCCUCUUCGUCCCCAUUGGCCCAGACGACCAGCUCACACCCGCGCAUAACGAGCGCCUCUCGCGCGCCAACAGCCAUCCCAGCUCUAGUCUCAGAAUUAGCCGC
rnacentral:sRNA from 1 species